rnacentral:rRNA from 1 species
AUUGAACGCUGGCGGCAGGCCUAACACAUGCAAGUCGAGCGGGGUUUUCGGACCUAGCGGCGGACGGGUGAGUAAUGCGUAGGAAGCUGCCCGAUAGAGGGGGAUACCAGUUGGAAACGACUGUUAAUACCGCAUAAUGUCUACGGACCAAAGUGUGGGACCUUCGGGCCACAUGCUAUCGGAUGCGCCUACGUGGGAUUAGCUAGUUGGUGAGGUAAUGGCUCACCAAGGCGACGAUCUCCAGCUGGUUUGAGAGGAUGAUCAGCCACACUGGAACUGGGAAACGGUCCAGACUCCUACGGGAGGCAGCAGUGGGGAAUAUUGGACAAUGGGCGCAAGCCUGGUCCAGCCAUGCCGCGUGUGUGAAGAAGGCCUUCGGGUUGUAAAGCACUUUCAGCGAGGAGGAAGGGUGGUGUGUUAAUAGCACAUCAUUUUGACGUUACUCGCAGAAGAAGCACCGGCUAACUCUGUGCCAGCCGCCGCAGUAAGAC